rnacentral:lncRNA from 1 species
AAGUCUCACGCCAUUCCGAGUCCGGCGAUCGAAGUUGGCCAGCCCCACCCCCCAAGGCUAUAGCCCACCCGUUUUUGUGGGCUUUUUCCGCUGGACGAACUUGGCGCCCCGGCCUUCGGGCAGUUAUUUUUGGCGCGGCUGUGCCCGCGGCCUAUUUUUGGCACACGGAGGCGCCUCUUAAGGUCUCGCGCAAUUCCGAGUCCGGCGGACGAAGUUGACCAGCCCCACCCCCCAAGGUUAUAGCCCACCCGUUUUUGUGGCCUUUUUCCGCUGGACGAACAUGGCACCCCAGCCUUCGGGCAGUUAUUUUUGGGCGUGGCGGUGCAUGCGGCCUAUUUUUGGCACACGGAGGCCCCUCGCAAAGUCUCACGGCAUUCCAAGUCCGGCGGACGAAGUUGGCCAGCCCCACCCCCCAAGGCUAUAGCCCACCUGUUUUUGUGGCCUUUUUCCGCUGGACGAACUUGGCGCCCCGGCCUUCGGGCAGUUAUUUUUGGGCACGGCUUUGCCCGCGGCCUAUUUUUGGCACACGGAGGCCCCUCGCAAAGUCUCGCGGCAUUCCGAGCCCGGCGGACGAAGUUGGCCAGCCCCACCCCCCAAGGCUAUAGCCCACCCGUUUUUGUGGCCUUUUCCCGCUGGAGGAACUUGGCGCCCCAGCCUUCGGGCGGUUAAUUUUGGGCGCGGCUUUGUCCGUGGCCUAUUUUUGGCACACGGAGGCCCCUCGGAAAGUCUCGCGUCAUUCCGAGUCCGGCGGACGAAGUUGGCCAGCCCCACCCCCCAAGUCUAUAGCCCACCCGUUUUUGUGGCCUUUUUCCGCUGGAUGAACUUGGCGCCCCGGCCUUCGGGCGGUUAUUUUUGGGCGCGGCUUUCCCGCGGCCUAUUUUUGGGUGCGGCUCUGCCCGCGGCCUAUUUUUACACACGGAGGCCCCUCGCAAAGUCUCGCUGCAUUCCGAGUCCGGCGGACGAAGUCGGCCUGCGCCACCCCUCAAGGCUAUAGCCCACCCGUUUUUGUGGCCUUUUUCCGCUGGACGAACUUGGCCCCCCGGCCUUCGGGCGGUUAUUUUUGGGCGCGUCUGUGCCCGAGGCCUAUUUUUAGCAUGCGAAGGUGCCUUGCAAAGUCUCGCGCCAUUCCGAGUCCGGCGGACGAAGUUGGCCAGNNNNNNNNNNNNNNNNNNNNNNNNNNNNNNNNNNNNNNNNNNNNNNNNNNNNNNNNNNNNNNNNNNNNNNNNNNNNNNNNNNNNNNNNNNNNNNNNNNNNGGGCGGUUAUUUUUUUGUACGGCUGUGCCCGCGGCCUAUUUUUGGUACACGGAGGCACCUCGCAAAGUCUCGUGCCAUUCCGAGUCUGGCGGUAGAAGUUGGCCAGCCCCACUCCCCAAGGGUAUAGCCCACCCGUUUUUGUGGCCUUUUUUCGCUGGACGAACUUGGCGCCCCGGCCUUCGGGCGGUUAUUUUUGGGCGCGGCAAAGUCUCGCGGCCUAUUUUUGGCACACGGAGGCCCCUCGAAAAGUCUCGCGGCAUUCCGAGUCCGGCGGACGAAGUUGGCCAGCCCCACCCCCCAAGGCUAUAGCCCACCCGUUUUUGUGGCCUUUUUCCGCUGGACGAACUUGGCGCCCGGGCCUUCAGGCGGUUAUUUUUGGGCGCGGCUUUGCCCUCGGCCUAUUUUUACACACGGAGGCGCCUCGCAAAGUCUCGCGCCAUUCCGAGUCCGGCGGGCGAAGUGGGCCAGCCCCACCCCCCAAGGCUAUAGCCCACCCGUUUUUGUGGCCUUUUUCCACUGGACGAACUUGGCGCCCCGGCCUUCGGGCGGUUAUUUUUGGGCGCGUUUGUGCCCGCGGAGGUGCCUUGCAAAGUCUCGCGCCAUUCCGAGUCCGGCGGACGAAUUUGGCCAGCCCCACCCCCCAAGGCUAUAGCCCACCCGUUUUUGUGGCUUUUUUCCUCAGGACGAACUGGGCGCCCCGGCCUUCGGGCAGUUAUUUUUGGGCGCGGCUGUGCCGGCGGCCUAUUUUUGGCACACGGAGGUGCCUCACAAAGUCUCGUGCCAUUCCGAGACCGGCGGACGAAGUUGGCCAGCACCACCCCCAACGCUAUAGCCCGUCGGUUUUUGGUGGGCUUUUUCCGCUGGACGAACUUGUCGCCCCGGACUUCGGGGGGUUAGUUUUGGGCGCGGCUGUGCCCGCGGCCUAUUUUUGGCACACGGAGGCGCCUCGCAAAGUCUCGCGCCAUUCCGAGUCCGGCGGUCGAAGUUGGCCAGCCCCACCCCCCAAGGCUAUAGCCCACCCAUUUUUGUGGCCUUUUUCCGCUGGCCGAACUUGGCGCCCCGGCUUUCGGGCGGUUAUUUUUGGGCGCGGCUGUGCCGGCGGCCUAUUUUUGGCACACGGAGGUGCCUCACAAAGUCUCGUGCCAUUCCGAGACCGGCGGACGAAGUUGGCCUGCACCACCCCCCAAGGCUAUAGCCCACCCGUUUUUGUGGGCUUUUUCCGCUGGACGAACUUGGCGCCCCGGUCUUGGCGCGGUUAUUUUUGGGCGCGGCUGUGCCCGCGGCCUAUUUUUGGCACACGGAGACGCCUCGCAAUGUCUCGCACCAUUCCGAGUCCGGCGGACGAAGUUGGCGCCCCGGCCUUCGGGCAGUUAUUUUUGGGCGUGGCUAUACCCGCGGCCUAUUUUGGGCACACGGAGGGACCUCGCAAAGUAUCGCGCCAUUCCGAGUCCGGGGGACGAAGUUGGCCAGCCCCACCCCCCAAGGCUAUAGCCCACCCGUUUUUGUGGCCUUUUUCGCUGGACGAACUUGGCGCCCCGGCUUUCGGGUGGUUAUUUUUGGACGCGGCUGUGCCCGCGGCUUAUUUUUGGCACACGGAGGUGCCUCGAAAGUCUCACGCCAUCCGAGUCGGGCGCACGAAGUUGGCCAGCCCCACCCCCCAAGGCUAUAGCCCACCCGUUUGUGUGGCCUUUUUCCGCUGGACGAACUUGGCGCCCCGGCCUUCGGGCGGUUAUUUUUGGGCGCCGCUGUGCCCGCGGACUAUUUUUGGCACGCGGAGGUGCCUUGCAAAGUCUCGCGCCAUUCCGAGUCCGGCGGACGAAGUUGGCCAUGCCCACCCCCCAAGGCUAUAGCCCACCCGUUUAUGUGGCCUUUUUCCGCUGGACGAACUUGGCGCCCCGGCCUUCGGGUUGUUAUUUUUGGGCGCGGCUUUGCCCGCGGCCUAUUUUUGGCACACGGAGACCCCUCGCAAGGUCUCAUAGCAUUCCGAGUCCGGCGGACGAAGUUGGCCAGCCCCACCCCCCAAGGCUAUAGCCCACCCGUAUUUGUGGCCUUUUUCCGCUGGACGAACUUGGCGCCCCGGCCUUCGGGCAGUUAUUUUUGGGCGCGUCUGUGCCCGCGGCCUAUUUUUGGCACAACGAGGCCCCACACAAAGUCUCGAGGCAUUCCGAGUCCGGCGGACGAAGUGGGCCAGCCCCACCCCCCAAGGCUAUAGCGCACCCGUUUUUGUGGCCUUUUUCCGCUGGACGAACUUUGCGCCCCGGACUUCGGGCGGUUAUUUUUUGGUACGGCUUUGCCCGCGGCCUAUUUUUGGCACACGGAGGACCCUCGCAAAGUCUCGCGGCAUUCCGAGACCGGCGGACGAAGUUGGCCAGCCCAACCCCCCAAGGCUAUAGCCCACCCGUUUUAUGUGGCCUUUUUCCGCGGGACGAACUUGGCGCCCCGGCCUUCGUGCAGUUAUUUUUGGACGCGGCUUUGGCCGCGGUCUAUUUUUGGCAAACGGAGGCCCCUCGCAAGGUCUCGCAGCAUUCCGAGUCCGGCGGACGAAGUUGGCCAGCCCCACCCCCCAAGGCUAUAGCCCACCCGUUUUUGUGGCCUUUUUCCGCUGGACGAACUUGACGAUCCGGCCUUCGGGUCGUUAUUUUUGGGCGCGGCUUUGCCCGCGGCCUAUUUUUGGCACACGGAGGCCCCUCGCAAAGUCUCGCAGCAUUCCGAGUCCGGCGGACGAAGUUGGCAAGCCCCACCCCCCAGGCUAUAGCCCACCCGUUUUUGUGGCCUUUUUCCGCUGGAAGAACUUN